UAGCCGUAAACUAUGCUCGCUAGGUGUCAGGGACGGUGCGACCGUUUCUGGUGCCGCAGGGAAGCCGUGAAGCGAGCCACCUGGGAAGUACGGUCGCAAGGCUGAAACUUAAAGGAAUUGGCGGGGGAGCACUACAACGGGUGGAGCCUGCGGUUUAAUUGGACUCAACGCCGGGAAGCUCACCGGAUAAGACAGCGGAAUGAUUGCCGGGCUGAAGACCCUGCAUGACCAGCUGAGAGGAGGUGCAUGGCGUCAGUGACU
rnacentral:rRNA from 1 species